AGUGAACGCUGGCGGUAGGCCUAACACAUGCAAGUCGAACGGCAGCACAGUAAGAGCUUGCUCUUACGGGUGGCGAGUGGCGGACGAGUGAGGAAUACAUCGGAAUCUACUUUUUCGUGGGGGAUAACGUAGGGAAACUUACGCUAAUACCGCAUACGACCUACGGGUGAAAGCAGGGGAUCUUCGGACCUUGCGCGAUUGAAUGAGCCGAUGUCGGAUUAGCUAGUUGGCGGGGUAAAGGCCCACCAAGGCGACGAUCCGUAGCUGGUCUGAGAGGAUGAUCAGCCACACUGGAACUGAGACACGGUCCAGCAUCCUACGGGAGGCAGCAGUGGGGAAUAUUGGACAAUGGGCGCAAGCCUGAUCCAGCCAUACCGCGUGGGUGAAGAAGGCCUUCGGGUUGUAAAGCCCUUUUGUUGGGAAAGAAAAGCAGCAGGUUAAUACCCCGCUGUUCUGACGGUACCCAAAGAAUAAGCACCGGCUAACUUCGU
rnacentral:rRNA from 1 species